AGUGAACGCCGGCGGUAGGCCUAACACAUGCAAGUCGAACGGCAGCACAGGAGAGCUUGCUCUCUGGGUGGCGAGUGGCGGACGGGUGAGGAAUACAUCGGAAUCUACUUUUUCGUGGGGGAUAACGUAGGGAAACUUACGCUAAUACCGCAUACGACCUACGGGUGAAAGCAGGGGACCUUCGGGCCUUGCGCGAUUGAAUGAGCCGAUGUCGGAUUAGCUAGUUGGCGGGGUAAAGGCCCACCAAGGCGACGAUCUGUAGCUGGUCUGCGAGGAUGAUCAGCAACACUGGAACUGAGACACGGUCCAGACUCCUACGGGAGGCAGCAGUGGGGAAUAUUGGACAAUGGGCGCAAGCCUGAUCCAGCCAUACCGCGUGGGUGAAGAAGGCCUUCGGGUUGUAAAGCCCUUUUGUUGGGAAAGAAAUCCAGCUGGCUAAUACCCGGUUGGGAUGACGGUACCCAAAGAAUAAGCACCGGCUAACUUCGUGCCAGCAGCCGCGGUAA
rnacentral:rRNA from 1 species